AAUUUUGGACAAUGGGGGAAACCCUGAUCCAGCCAGCCCGCGUGUAGGAUGAAGGCCUUCGGGUUGUAAAGUACUUUUGGCAGAGAAGAAAAGGUACCUCCUAAUACGAGGUACUGCAGACGGUAUCUGCAGAAUAAGCACCUGCGUACUACGUGCCAGCAGCCGCGGUAAUACGUAGGGUGCAAGCGUUAAUCGGAAUUACUGGGCGUAAAGCGUGUGUAGGCGGUUCGGAAAGAAAGAUGUGCAAUCCCAGGGCUCCACCUGGGAACUGCAUUUUUAACUGCCGAGCUAGAGUAUGUCAGAGGGGGGUAGAAUUCCACGUGUAGCAGUGAAAUGAGUAGAUAUGUGGAGGAAUACCGAUGGCGAAGGCAGCCCCCUGGGAUAAUACUGACGCUCAGACACGAAAGCGUGGGGAGCAAAAAG
rnacentral:rRNA from 1 species